rnacentral:rRNA from 1 species
UACGUAGGGGGCGAGCGUUGUCCGAAGUUACUGGGCGUAAAGGGCGCGUAGGCGGGGAAGAACGUCUGCUGUGAAAGCCCGGAGCUUAACUCCGGAGGGUCGGUAGAUACUUUUUCUCUUGAAGCUGCUAGGGGGAGAUGGAAUUACCGGUGUAGCGGUGAAAUGCGUAGAUAUCGGUAGGAACACCUGUGGCGAAGGCGGUCUCCUGGGGCAGACUUGACGCUGAGGCGCGAAAGCUGGGGGAGCGAACGGG